UGAUUCUCGUAGCUGUCUCAUGCGUUCUUCAUACGCUUGCAUACGUCGGUUUAGUCUGUGUUUCAUGAUCGAUGUUGUCUAUGAUUCCUUUGUGGUCGCUGAUUCGCAAGAUUCUGAUUCUUUCCUUCCUUUUGAUUUGGCUGAUCUGAGUUGUGGUUUCUCUUAACAUCUUUUGCUUUGUUCUGUUCAUUCAGAGGGGAGUGUUCUGGGCCUUGAUAUUUAGUACCAUCUGGAAAUGAUGAUUUGUUGAAUUUGAAUUUGGAAGAUCUUGAUAUGGGUGAUGAGGCUGAAGAUAAUAUUGAUGGAGGGAAUGUCAAUGACCAAGUCCAAGAGAAUAUUUUUGAAGCUCCUGAAGCACCAAUGAUGUUGCAGCUGAAGGCAAUAUUCGUGAAAAUUAUGGUGGAAAUUGGAGUGCAUGGAAUUGUUGAUAAAAUUACCUCUGCUGUCAAAUAUUUUGUCGUGGUUUUUCUUUGAUGGUUUUAUAUUUUCUGCAAGUUAGAUCGACUUGUUUCUUUGGUUUUCUAAUGAGACAGUUAUAUGUACUUCCGCAAUGAUAUUUUCUGCAAGUU